ACCCCAACCUAACCCCAACCUUUUUUUUUUUUUUUUUUUUUUUAUACGUGGGGAAAUCCUCAUGGACACCCGGGCGCCACCAGACGCGUCCGGGUAGUGUCGGACUCUUACCGACUAAAACCCCACGAUGACCAUCCUGGCGUCUUGUGGACUUAGGGUAGGUUCUCUUGCGAAUACGACCACCGCUUGUAGUCCGACGCCGCUGGUGUUGUCCUCCGAGAUGUUGUUCCGGAGCCAGAGGCAGGUCAUCCACCUCUGGCCACGUCGCCGUUGCCUACUUUCAGCCUCCGGGUCCCCCCAUUGGCGUCCGAGCUUCGUCCAUCUGCAGGUUUCAUCGGGGGGAGGGGGGAGAACUCGCCGUUCGGGGGCACCAAUCCCUACUAGGCGCUCUUGCCCCCACCCAGCCGGAAACUCUCGUCGGCGUACCACGAUGUCGCCCACAGGUGAAACGGUUGUCCCCCAAACCGACUUCCCCACCCGAACAUCCUCCUGGUGGCCCGUACUGCUUCCUCCUGGUUUGGGGUGCCCUCUAGUCUCUCCUGGUCCUUGGUGGAAUCCGAAAAAACCGGAUUUGGUCACCGCAAUCCAAAGCG
rnacentral:misc_RNA from 1 species